rnacentral:rRNA from 1 species
GACGAACGCUGGCGGCGUGCUUAACACAUGCAAGUCGAACGAAGAGCGACGGAAGCUUGCUUCUAUCAAUCUUAGUGGCGAACGGGUGAGUAACGCGUAAUCAACCUGCCCUUCAGAGGGGGACAACAGUUGGAAACGACUGCUAAUACCGCAUACGAUCUAACCUCGGCAUCGAGGAUAGAUGAAAGGUGGCCUCUACAUGUAAGCUAUCACUGAAGGAGGGGAUUGCGUCUGAUUAGCUAGUUGGGGGGGUAACGGCCCACCAAGGCGAUGAUCAGUAGGCGGUCUGGGAGGAUGGACGGCCAAAUUGGGACUGGGGCCAGGCCCAGAAUCCUUCGGGAGGCAGCAGUGGGGAAACUUCCGCAAUGGAGGGAAGUCUGACGGAGCAACGCCGGGUGGGUGAUGAAGGCCUUCGGGUUGUAAAGCUCUGUUUAUCGGGACGAAAGGCCUUCUUGCGAAUAGUGAGAAGGAUUGACGGUACCGGAAUAGAAAGCCACGGCUAACUACGUG